AAAAUGACUCUCGGCAACGGAUAUCUCGGCUCUCGCAUCGAUGAAGAACGUAGCGAAAUGCGAUACUUGGUGUGAAUUGCAGAAUCCCGUGAACCAUCGAGUCUUUGAACGCAAGUUGCGCCCCAAGCCGUUAGGCCGAGGGCAUGCCUGCCUGGGUGUCACGC
rnacentral:rRNA from 1 species